rnacentral:rRNA from 1 species
UACGGAGGGUGCAAGCGUUAUCCGGAUUCACUGGGUUUAAAGGGUGCGUAGGCGGGCAGGUAAGUCAGUGGUGAAAUCCUAGAGCUUAACUCUAGAACUGCCAUUGAUACUAUCUGUCUUGAAUAUUGUGGAGGUAAGCGGAAUAUGUCAUGUAGCGGUGAAAUGUUUAGAUAUGACAUAGAACACCUAUUGCGAAGGCAGCUUACUACGCAUAUAUUGACGCUGAGGCACGAAAGCGUGGGGAUCAAACAGG